UGCCUGUACCAUAACCGACACAGGUGGGUAGGUAGAGUAUACUAAGGGGCGCGAGAUAACUCUCUCUAAGGAACUCGGCAAAAUGACUCCGUAACUUCGGGAGAAGGAGUGCCUUAUUUAUAAGGUUGCAAUAACAAGAUCCAAGCAACUGUUUAUCAAAAACACAGGUCUCCGCUAAGUCGUAAGACGAUGUAUGGGGGCUGACGCCUGCCCAGUGCCAGAAGGUUAAAGAAGUUGGUUAGUGUAUGCGAAGCUGAUGACUGAAGCCCUGGUGAACGGCGGCCGUAACUAUAACGGUCCUAAGGUAGCGAAAUUCCUUGUCGGGUAAGUUCCGACCCGCACGAAAGGCGUAAUGAUUUGGAUACUGUCUCGGAGAGAGGCUCGGUGAAAUAGACUUGUCUGUGAAGAUGCGGACUACCUGCACCAGGACAGAAAGACCCUAUGAAGCUUUACUGUAACUUGAAAUUGGAAUUGGACUUUGCUUGCGCAGUAUAGGUGGGAAGCGUUGAAGAUAUUCUUGCGGGAGUAUUGGAGCUAUCAGUGAGAUACCACUCUUGUAAUGUUAGAUUUCUAACUUUGAACCAUAAUCUGGUCAAAGAACAGUUUCAGGUGGGCAGUUUGACUGGGGCGGUCGCCUCCCAAAUGGUAACGGAGGCGUACAAAGGUUUCCUCUGAACGGAUAGAAAUCGUAUCUAGAGUGUAAAGGCAUAAGGAAGCUUGACUGUGAGACCUACAAGUCGAGCAGGGACGAAAGUCGGUCUUAGUGAUCUGACGGUACUGAGUGGAAAGGCCGUCACUCAACGGAUAAAAGUUACUCUAGGAUAACAGGCUGAUCUCCCCCAAGAGUUCACAUCGAUGGGGAGGUUUGGCACCUCGAUGUCGGCUCAUCGCAUCCUGGGGCGGUAGUACGUCCCAAGGGUUGGGCUGUUCGCCCAUGAAAGCGGUACGCGAGCUGGGUUCAGAACGUCGUGAGACAGUUCGGUCCAUAUCCGGUGUAGGCGUUAGAAUAUUGAGAGGAGCCUUCUUUAGUACGAGAGGACCGAGAAGGUCACACCGCUGGUGUACCAGUUAUCGUGCCAACGGUAAACGCUGGGUAGCUAUGUGUGGAGUGGAUAACCGCUGAAAGCAUCUAAGUGGGAAGCCCACCUCAAGAUGAGUAUUCUCAUCACUAUAAGUGAGUAAGGUCGCGGUAAGACUAACCGUUUGAUAGGCAUUAAGUGUAAAUGUAGUAAUGCAUGUGCUGAGAUGUCCUAACAGACCGAGGAC
rnacentral:rRNA from 1 species